rnacentral:lncRNA from 1 species
ACAAGGCCUAACAUGGAGAGCUGGGGUGGACUCUGCACUGCCCACCUCCAUAGCCCUAGAGACAUGCUCUGGAGAAGAUCAUGAUCAGCUGUACCUUGAGGAUGACCUGGAUCGAGAGGAAUGGAUGAAGAAUGACUUGUUGGCAAACACUACUUUCUUGGCCUUAGGGGCUUAGGUCUGUUUUGCUUUCCAAAUAUUCUUUUUAAUUUGCUUUGUUGCACUUUAAUAAUUCCUGUCUUGUCC